rnacentral:rRNA from 1 species
GACGAACCGAGCGAACGUUGUUCGGAAUAACUGGGCUUAAAGGGCGCGUAGGCGGAUUGCUAAGUCAGGGGUGAAAUCCUGGAGCUCAACUCCAGAACUGCCUUUGAUACUGGCGGUCUCGAGUCCGGGAGAGGUGAGUGGAACUGCGAGUGUAGAGGUGAAAUUCGUAGAUAUUCGCAAGAACACCAGUGGCGAAGGCGGCUCACUGGCCCGGUACUGACGCUGAGGUGCGAAAGCGUGG